rnacentral:rRNA from 1 species
GUGAGGAAUAUUGGUCAAUGGGCGAGAGCCUGAACCAGCCAAGUCGCGUGAAGGAAGAAGGUUCUAUGGAUUGUAAACUUCUUUUGCAUGGGAAUAAAGUGAGCUACGAGUAGUUUAUUGUAUGUACUGUGCGAAUAAGGAUCGGCUAACUCCGUGCCAGCAGCCGCGGUAAUACGGAGGAUCCGAGCGUUAUCCGGAUUUAUUGGGUUUAAAGGGUGCGUAGGCGGGAGAUUAAGUCAGCGGUGAAAGUUUGCAGCUUAACUGUAAAAUUGCCGUUGAAACUGAUUUUCUUGAGUGUAAAUAAGGUAGGCGGAAUGUGUUGUGUAGCGGUGAAAUGCAUAGAUAUAACACAGAACCCCGAUUGCGAAGGCAGCUUACCGGGCUACAACUGACGCUGAGGCACGAAAGCGUGGGGAUCAAACAGGAUUAGAAACCCUAGUAGUCC